rnacentral:rRNA from 1 species
GAUGAACGCUGGCGGCGUGCUUAACACAUGCAAGUCGAACGGGAAUUACUUUAUUGACACUUCGGUCGAUUUAAUUUAAUUCUAGUGGCGGACGGGUGAGUAACGCGUGGGUAACCUGCCUUAUACAGGGGGAUAACAGUCAGAAAUGGCUGCUAAUACCGCAUAAGCGCACAGAGCUGCAUGGCUCGGUGUGAAAAACUCCGGUGGUAUAAGAUGGACCCGCGUUGGAUUAGCUUGUUGGUGGGGUAACGGCCCACCAAGGCGACGAUCCAUAGCCGGCCUGAGAGGGUGAACGGCCACAUUGGGACUGAGACACGGCCCAGACUCCUACGGGAGGCAGCAGUGGGGAAUAUUGCACAAUGGGGGAAACCCUGAUGCAGCGACGCCGCGUGAAGGAAGAAGUAUCUCGGUAUGUAAACUUCUAUCAGCAGGGAAGAUAGUGACGGUACCUGACUAAGAAGCCCCGGCUAACUACGUG